UUUUUAUACCAAACCAUGCCAUUCCAACCAGGUCUUCCCUCAAUCAAAAUGUAAUCAUUUGUUCGAAUAUUUAGUAAGUGUUUAUGCUAAACACUGUGCAGGUGACAAAACAAACUGCCAUGCCUUUUGCCUUAUGGCACGAUGACCCUGGCAGAGGACACAAAAAAAAAUCUGAAAAUGUAACUUUCUUACAGAGCAUGAAGGAGAGCUGUGUGCAAUGAGCACACAUCAUGAAAAGACUGGACUUUCGAGAUUCACAGAUGACCUGUAUGUUCUGGUCUCCUUUUGGAACAGGGAUCACACGACUGCAGAACAGAGUAAACCAGGGAUGAAGGAGAAGGAGAGUUGGCUGAGCAAGCGGGAAACCAAGAAGUAGAAGCAGUUCGUUCAGGCAAGGAGGGAGGAUGAGGGAGGUGGUAGUCAGUCAACUUCCAGGAGGUCAGGCUCUAAGAUGUGAAGGGGGAGGGUAAAGCAGGAGUUGGAGGGCUUGGAAGAAAGUCCAAGAGGUCUGCACAGAGCCAGAUAUGAAACCACAAGAUGAGGACACCCAUGGGACCAAGAGGGUCACCAUAUGAAAAUCUAGGGUGAGUCCUAUUUAAACUCCGUUAUUUUUACAUUGUCCCCUGAUAAAGAAGCGAGCUUUGUCAGCAGCCAGUCACAUUACAACUAUGUACCCAGCAACAACCAGUGUUUCAAUAUCAGCAACAACCCAGCACCUCUCUAGGAAAACAACUCAUGGCAAACUGGCAUUGCCACCAUAAGGACGGGCUUCUUCUUAAACUCAGUCCCUCAGUAUUAUCAGCUUGUAAGAGCCAGAUUGCUUGCAAACUGUUCUCUAGUAUACUUCCAAUUAGAGGAAGCUUUGAAAUGUGAACCAUGACCCCUAGGCAGAUGAUAUUAACAGGUUAUUCCCAACUCUCACAAAGAAUGAGCUUUGCAACCUAAUUUGUGCAGCAAUUAAAUUCAGACUAAAACAUAAUUUUAUUUUAUUGCUCAGUACUUGCCUGCAUUUUUUUAAGCCAGUAAUUGCAGGAAGGAGUUAAUUUGAUAAUAUAAAUAAAAACUGGCCCCCAAAGGGCA
rnacentral:lncRNA from 1 species